AAGUCGUAACAAGGUUUCCGUAGGUGAACCUGCGGAAGGAUCAUUAACACGUUAUCCAUACGUUAAACCAAUUGAGAAUCUGUUUUCACCCUCCCUUCACGGAGAAUGAGCGGGGUUUGUAGAGGUAUUAAAAGGGAUUGCUUCGGCCGUCUGCCUCUGCUUACUAUUAUAUCAAGACAGAAAUGUUUUGUAUGACGCUGUAUCUUUUUGUGGAGAUUAAUCUCGCUAGCGCUUUCCUUUUAUGAGAGUUAGUUCGGGAACUAUAUUAACUUAUUUCACCUUUUUGCUAGUUGACUUUUAUAUGUUGGAUACUGUGCAUUGCAUUUUAUUCCACACGUUUAUUAUUUGAACGUCAAAAUUACAACUCUUAGCAAUGGAUAUCUUGGUUCUC
rnacentral:misc_RNA from 1 species